rfam:Oryza meridionalis cultivar OR44 (W2112) chromosome 3, whole genome shotgun sequence.
AUUUACUCCCUCCGUUCUUACGUGACUAAUUUUAAUCGUUCAUCUUAUUUAAAAAAAAUAUAUAAUUAGUAUUUUUAUUGUUAUGACAUGAUAGAACAUUAAUAUUACUUUAUACUUGACUUAUGUUUUUAAUUUUUUAAAAAAAUUAAAUAAGACAGACGAUCAAAGUUAAGUACGGAAAAUUAUGGCUACACUUAAA